GGAUGCCGAUCAUACCAGCACUAAAGCACCGGAUCCCAUCAGAACUCCGAAGUUAAGCGUGCUUGGGCGAGAGUAGUACUAGGAUGGGUGACCUCUUGGGAAGUCCUCGUGUUGCAUUCCC
rnacentral:rRNA from 1 species